UUCCACCGGAUGCAGACCAACUGCAGAUCGGCUCUGAUGCGUGUUGGCUGCGUGCUCCGCCAUCCUUCAAUACCCACCAGGUCUGAAUUAGUUGUGGAACGGUUGUGGCAAUGACUGACAGCUGAAGUCACAGGGACACACGAGAUCUCACAAAUUCACAUGUGAUUGCGCAAUAU